AAAUUGAAGAGUUUGAUCAUGGCUCAGAUUGAACGCUGGCGGCAGGCCUAACACAUGCAAGUCGAACGGUAACAGAAAUCAGCUUGCUGAUUUGCUGACGAGUGGCGGACGGGUGAGUAAUGUCUGGGAAACUGCCUGAUGGAGGGGGAUAACUACUGGAAACGGUAGCUAAUACCGCAUAACGUCGCAAGACCAAAGAGGGGGACCUUCGGGCCUCUUGCCAUCGGAUGUGCCCAGAUGGGAUUAGCUAGUAGGUGGGGUAACGGCUCACCUAGGCGACGAUCCCUAGCUGGUCUGAGAGGAUGACCAGCCACACUGGAACUGAGACACGGUCCAGACUCC
rnacentral:rRNA from 1 species